rnacentral:piRNA from 1 species
UUGUAGACGGGUGGGGAGUUCCC